UGUUUAUGGUCUUGACUUCUUGGACAAUGGAAUGAAAUUUGUUUUGGUGGUGAUCCCUGUUGAUCUUAUACCAUCUUCACUAACAAUACAAGGAAAAAUCACAACCAUAUCAAUCGUCAAAGUUUUGUUUUUAAAUUUGAAUUAAUAACAUAAUUGAUUCAGGUUAUCAAAUAUAUAAAUUAAUGUCCAUUUACAUGUAUGGAAAAAUAAGGCUUAAAAGUACAAACACUUAAUAAAUUUCAAAUACAUGAGGCAAUGUAAAUAACCAAUUAUAUAAGACUAUGGGCGGAUCCAGGAUUUUUUCAGAGGUUGGAUGUAUAAAAACUGUGUAUUUUUGGCCUGGCUGACCAAAGAGAAAAAAAAUUGGGACAAUCAUAUGCUUCAAUGUAGGUGUUCUGGUAUGUCAUGAUUAUUAGCCCCACUCACAAAUUUUCAAAGUCCUAACCCCCUUAUAAUCAUGCUAAUUUCAGCAAAAGUCAUUAGAGGAGAACCUUAUGUAAAGGGACAUAUCAAAAAGAAGAUGUGGUUUGCUUGCCAAUGAGACAACUGUCCACAAGAGACCAAAAUGACACAGACAUUAACAACUAUAGGUCACCGUACGGCCUUCAACAAUGAGCAAAGCCC
rnacentral:lncRNA from 1 species